rnacentral:rRNA from 1 species
AUUGAACGCUGGCGGCAUGCCUUACACAUGCAAGUCGAACGGUAACAGGUCUUCGAAUGCUGACGAGUGGCGAACGGGUGAGUAAUACAUCGGAACGUGCCUAGUAGUGGGGGAUAACUACUCGAAAGAGUGGCUAAUACCGCAUGAGAUCUACGGAUGAAAGCAGGGGAUCGCAAGACCUUGUGCUACUAGAGCGGCCGAUGGCAGAUUAGGUAGUUGGUGGGAUAAAAGCUACCAAGCCGACGAUCUGUAGCUGGUCUGAGAGGACGAUCAGCCACACUGGGACUGAGACACGGCCCAGACUCCUACGGGAGGCAGCAGUGGGGAAUUUUGGACAAUGGGCGAAAGCCUGAUCCAGCAAUGCCGCGUGCAGGAUGAAGGCCUUCGGGUUGUAAACUGCUUUUGUACGGAACGAAAAGCCCCGGGUUAAUACCCUGGGGUCAUGACGGUACCGUAAGAAUAAGCACCGGCUAACUACGUGCCAGCAGCCGCCGUAA